GGAUUGGCGCAUCGGUCGUGCCUUACGGGGUAUGAACUGGUGCAGUCAAUUUCUCACCUUCUGGAGAACCGCGAUGUCCUUAAUUGGGUGCCGUGGGGAACCAGGACCUUUACUUUGAAAAAAUUAGAGUGUUUAGAGCAGGCAUUUUUGCUUGAAUACAUUAGCAUGGAAUAAUAAAAUAGGGCGGCAUGGUUCUAUUUUGUUGGUUUCUAGGACCACCGUAAUGAUUAAUAGGGAUAGUUGGGGGCAUUAGUAUUCAAUUGUCAGAGGUGAAAUUCUUGGAUUUAUUGAAGACUAACUACUGCGAAAGCAUUUGCCAAGGAUGUUUUCAUUAAUCAAGAACGAAAGUUAGGGGAUCGAAGACGAUCAGAUACCGUCGUAGUCUUAACCAUAAACUAUGCCGACUAGGAAUCAGACGAUGUUAAUUUUUUAAUGACUCGUUUGGCACCUUACGGGAAACCAAAGUGUUUGGGUUCCGGGGGGAGUAUGGUCGCAAGGCUGAAACUUAAAGGAAUUGACGGAAGGGCACCACCAGGGGUGGAGCCUGCGGCUUAAUUUGACUCAACACGGGAAAACUUACCAGGUCCAGACAUAGUAAGGAUUGACAGAUUGAGAGC
rnacentral:rRNA from 1 species